AUGUAGUCAGAGUUACGUAGAGGUGGAGAUGUAGUCAGAGUAACAUAGUGGUGGAGAUGUAGUCUGAGUAACGUAGUGGUGGAGAUGUAGUCUGAGUAACGUAGAGGUGGAGACGUUGUCUGAGUAACGUAGAGGUGGAGAUGUAGACAGAGUAACGUAGAGAUGGAGAUGUAGUCUGAGUAACGUAGAGGUGGAGGUGGAGAUGUAGUCAGAGUAAUGUGGAGAUGUAGUCAGAGUAACAUAGAGAUGGAGAUGUAGUCUGAGUAACGUAGAGGUGGAGUUGUCGUCAGAGUAACGUGGAGAUGUAGUCAGAGUAACGUAGAGGUGGAGAUGUAGUC